CCGAGCUGAAGACCCAUAUUGAGGCUUUGACAGAAAUACGGGUUGGUCUUCUUUUAAGAUUUAUCUUUCUUACUUUAAGUUUAUUCUGAACUUUCUGAGCCUAAUUCUAAAUUUGAAAGUGUAAUUUAUAUAACACCUUUGAGAAUAAACUGGUGGAUCAGCACUACUGGCAUUGUGUUCAUCCAUACAGCUUAGGAGUACCCAUUCCCAUUGUUCUUUUUACAGGGCUAACUCAAGGACCUGGAAACAAAAUCUUUUUGAGGAGAGAGCUGCACUGAAAGCUAAACAGAAGCGUUUCCAAGAAGAGAGGCAUAACUUUAGGCUUUAUACACUGAAAAAUAAUGAAGUGCUUGCUAAGGAGAUCACAGAGCAUGAUGAAGAGGCUUUCAUGAGCUUUGAUGUGUUUGUUGACAGGCGGCAGACGUCCUAAGUCAGAAGCACCGGGGUUAUGACAUUUUGUAAGGA